rnacentral:rRNA from 1 species
CCUACGGGAGGCUGCAGUGGGGAAUAUUGCACAAUGGGGGAAACCCUGAUGCAGCGACGCCGCGUGAGUGAAGAAGGAAUUCGGUUUGUAAAGCUCUAUCAGCAGAGAAGAAAAUGACGGUACUUGCGUAAGAAGAACCGGCUAACUACGUGCCAGCAGCCGCGGGAAUACGUAGGGGGCAAGAGUUAUCCGGAUUUACUGGGUGGAAAGGGAGCGUAGACGGCAGAGCAAGUAUGCAGGGAAAGGCGGGGGCUCAACCCCCGGACUGCUCUGGAAACUGUACGUCUGGAGUGCAGGAGAGGUAAGUGUAAUUCCUAGUGUAGCGGUGAAAUGCGUAGAUAUUAGGAGGAACACCAGUGGCGAAGGCGGCUUACUGGACUGUAACUGACGUUGAGGCGCGAAAGCGUGGGGAGCAAACAGGAUUAGAUACCCGAGUAGUC